rnacentral:misc_RNA from 1 species
GCAGAGGGUUUGUAGUACGUGGUGGAAAGUGUGCCAUGACCCCGCUAUGUGGCGUGUUAUUGACUUGAAACGUGUCGUUUGUAGAUCCAAAUUGGCCUAUGUGUUGGAGAAGAUAUGCCGUCUUGCUGUGCGUCGUAGCCAAGGCCAGACUUUCAAAAUUAGCAUAGACAAUUUUGGUAAUGAACGCUUGCUCAGCUACAUUGCUUCGAGAUCAAGCCAGCUCAGGCAUCUCCG